CGCAAACAACUGCAGUCGACGGAGUCAUGAAUUGGAAGUUUUCGGAUGGAAGAGACAUGACUUAGUGGCGGACGGGUGAGUAACGCGUGGGUAACCUGCCGCAUACAGGGGGAUAACACUUAGAAAUAGGUGCUAACACCGCAUAAGCGCACGGGAUUGCAUGAUCCUGUGUGAAAAUCUCCGGAGGUAUACGAUGGGCCCGCGUCUGAUUAGCCAGUUGGCAGGGUAACGGCCUACCAAAGCGACGAUCAGUAGCCGGCCUGAGAGGGUGGACGGCCACAUUGGGACUGAGACACGGCCCAAACUCCUACGGGAGGCAGCAGUGGGGGAUAUUGCACAAUGGGGGAAACCCUGAUGCAGCGACGCCGCGUGAGUGAAGAAGUAUUUCGGUAUGUAAAGCUCUAUCAGCAGGGAAGAUAAUGACGGUACCUGAGUAAGAAGCCCCGGCUAACUACGUGCCAGCAGCCGCGGUAAUACGUAGGGGGCAAGCGUUAUCCGGAUUUACUGGGUGUAAAGGGAGCGUAGACGGCAGGGCAAGUCUGAUGUGAAAGCCCGGGGCUCAACCCCGGGACUGCAUUGGAAACUGUCAGGCUAGAGUGCAGGAGAGGUGAGCGGAAUUCCUAGUGUAGCGGUGAAAUGCGUAGAUAUUAGGAGGAACACCAGUGGCGAAGGCGGCUCACUGGACUGUAACUGACGUUGAGGCUCGAAAGCGUGGGGAGCAAACAGGAUUAGAUACCCUGGUAGUCCACG
rnacentral:rRNA from 1 species